rnacentral:rRNA from 1 species
UGCGGAGGAUCCGAGCGUUAUCCGGAUUUAUUGGGUUUAAAGGGUGCGUAGGCGGCCUUGUAAGUCAGGGGUGAAAGACGGUAGCUUAACUAUCGCAGUGCCUUUGAUACUGCAGGGCUUGAAUGUACUUGAGGUAGGCGGAAUGUGACAAGUAGCGGUGAAAUGCAUAGAUAUGUCACAGAACACCAAUUGCGAAGGCAGCUUACUAAAGUAUGAUUGACGCUGAGGCACGAAAGCGUGGGGAUCAAACAGG